UACGUAGGGCGCAAGCGUUGUCCGGAAUUAUUGGGCGUAAAGAGCUCGUAGGCGGUUUGUUACGUCUGCUGUGAAAACCUAGGGCUUAACCCUGGGCCUGCAGUGGAUACGGGCAGACUAGAGGUAGGUAGGGGAGAAUGGAAUUCCCGGUGUAGCGGUGAAAUGCGCAGAUAUCGGGAGGAACACCGGUGGCGAAGGCGGUUCUCUGGGCCUUACCUGACACUGAGGAGCGAAAGCGUGGGGAGCGAACAGG
rnacentral:rRNA from 1 species